AUAUCUCUAUAAUCUGCUAAAGUAUAAAACAUAAGUCUCAAAAAAUCGGGGGGUAUAUGACCUUGUUGUAACCACUGUUGAGGGG
rnacentral:antisense_RNA from 1 species